rnacentral:rRNA from 1 species
UACUCGAGUGGCGAACGGGUGAGUAACACGUGGGUGAUCUGCCCUGCACUUCGGGAUAAGCCUGGGAAACUGGGUCUAAUACCGGAUAGGAGCCAUUUUUAGUGUGAUGGUUGGAAAGUUUUUUCGGUGUAGGAUGAGCUCGCGGCCUAUCAGCUUGUUGGUGGGGUAAUGGCCUACCAAGGCGGCGACGGGUAGCCGGCCUGAGAGGGUGGACGGCCACAUUGGGACUGAGAUACGGCCCAGACUCCUACGGGAGGCAGCAGUGGGGAAUAUCGCACAAUGGGCGCAAGCCUGAUGCAGCGACGCCGCGUGGGGGAUGACGGCCUUCGGGUUGUAAACUCCUUUCGCUAGGGACGAAGCUUUUUGUGACGGCACCUAGAUAAGAAGCACCGGCUAACUACGUGCCAGCAGCCGCGGUAAUACGUAGGGUGCGAGCGUUGUCCGGAAUUACUGGGCGUAAAGGGCUCGUAGGUGGUUUGUCGCGUCGUCUGUGAAAUUCCGGGGCUUAACUCCGGGCGUGCAGGCGAUACGGGCAUAACUUGAGUACUGUAGGGGUAACUGGAAUUCCUGGUGUAGCGGUGAAAUGCGCAGAUAUCAGGAGGAACACCGAUGGCGAAGG